CAGAGGGUGCAAACGUUGUUCGGAAUUACUGGGCGUAAAGCGCGUGUAGGCGGUCGGGCAAGUCGGGUGUGAAAGCCCAGGGCUCAACCCUGGAAGUGCAUUCGAUACUGCCUGGCUAGAGUCCCGGAGAGGAUGGUGGAACUCUCGGUGUAGAGGUGAAAUUCGUAGAUAUCGAGAAGAACACCGGUGGCGAAGGCGGCCAUCUGGACGGUGACUGACGCUGAGACGCGAAAGCGUGGGGAGCAAACAGGAUUAGAUACCCUGGUAGUCCACGCCGUAAACGAUGGGUGCUAGGUGUCACGGGUAUUGACCCCUGUGGUGCCGAAGCUAACGCAUUAAGCACCCCGCCUGGGAAGUACGGCCGCAAGGCUA
rnacentral:rRNA from 1 species